rnacentral:rRNA from 1 species
UACGGAGGGGGCUAGCGUUGCUCGGAAUUACUGGGCGUAAAGCGCACGUAGGCGGACUGUUAAGUCGGGGGUGAAAUCCUGGGGCUCAACCUCAGAAUUGCCUCCGAUACUGGCAGUCUCGAGUGCGGGAGAGGUGAGUGGAAUUCCCAGUGUAGAGGUGAAAUUCGUAGAUAUUGGGAAGAACACCAGUGGCGAAGGCGGCUCACUGGCCCGUAACUGACGCUGAGGUGCGAAAGCGUGGGGAGCAAACAGG